rnacentral:snoRNA from 1 species
GCGCCACCAUGCCAGAGCAAACUGUGGCUCCAAACCAUUGUCUGGCCUCUGCCUAUAGACUGCUGGUACUGAAGGGAGUUUCACAGUU